rnacentral:rRNA from 1 species
UGCAGUCGNNCGACAGCGCGAGGAGCUUGCUCCUUGGCGGCGAGUGGCGAACGGGUGAGUAAUGUGUAGGAAUCUACCUUAUAGUGGGGGACAACUCGAGGAAACUCGAGCUAAUACCGCAUAUUCUCUACGGAGGAAAGCAGGGGACCUUUUAGGCCUUGCGCUGUAAGAUGAGCCUACAUCGGAUUAGCCUGUUGGUAGGGUAAUGGCCUACCAAAGCAACGAUCCGUAGCUGGUUUGAGAGAAUGAUCAGCCACACUGGAACUGAGACACGGUCCAGACUCCUACGGGAGGCAGCAGUGGGGAAUAUUGGACAAUGGGAGAAACCCUGAUCCAGCAAUGCCGCGUGUGUGAAGAAGGCCUUCGGGUUGUAAAGCACUUUCAGUAGCGAAGAACAGCUUAACAGUGAAUAACUGUUAAGCUUUGACGUAACCUACAGAAGAAGCACUGGCUAACUCUGUGCCAGCAGCCGCGGUAAUACAGAGAGUGCAAGCGUUAAUCGGAAUUACUGGGCGUAAAGCGCACGUAGGUGGGUAUUUAAGUCGGAUGUGAAAUCCCCAAGCUUAACUUGGGAACUGCAUUCGAUACUGAGUACCUAGAGUAUAGUAGAGGGAAGUGGAAUUUCCGGUGUAGCGGUGAAAUGCGUAGAUAUCGGAAAGAACACCAGUGGCGAAGGCGACUUCCUGGACUAAUACUGACACUCAGGUGCGAAAGCGUGGGGAGCAAACAGGAUUAGAGACCCUGGUAGUCCACGCUGUAAACGAUGAGAACUAGAUGUUGGCCCCGCAAUUAUUUCUGUUAGAUAGACAGAGAUAAAUGCGGGGUUAGUAUCGAAGCUAACGCGUUAAGUUCUCCGCCUGGGGAGUANNGCCGCAANGUUNAAACUCAAAGGAAUUGACGGGGGCCCGCACAAGCGGUGNA